rnacentral:rRNA from 1 species
GCCUCUUAGCGGGGGAUAACUAUUGGAAACGAUAGCUAAUACCGCAUAAAAGUCGAUAUCGCAUGAUGUUGAUUUGAAAGGUGCAAUUGCAUCACUAAGAGAUGGACCUGCGUUGUAUUAGCUAGUUGGUGAGGUAACGGCUCACCAAGGCGACGAUACAUAGCCGACCUGAGAGGGUGAUCGGCCACACUGGGACUGAGACACGGCCCAGACUCCUACGGGAGGCAGCAGUAGGGAAUCUUCGGCAAUGGGGGCAACCCUGACCGAGCAACGCCGCGUGAGUGAAGAAGGUUUUCGGAUCGUAAAGCUCUGUUGUAAGAGAAGAACGAGUGUGAGAGUGGAAAGUUCACACUGUGACGGUAACUUACCAGAAAGGGACGGCUAACUACGUGCCAGCAG